rnacentral:rRNA from 1 species
AGUGGGGAAUAUUGGACAAUGGGCGAAAGCCUGAUCCAGCCAUGCCGCGUGAGUGAUGAAGGCCCUAGGGUUGUAAAGCUCUUUCAACGGUGAAGAUAAUGACGGUAACCGUAGAAGAAGCCCCGGCUAACUUCGUGCCAGCAGCCGCGGUAAUACGAAGGGGGCUAGCGUUGUUCGGAAUUACUGGGCGUAAAGCGCACGUAGGCGGAUACUUAAGUUAGGGGUGAAAUCCCGAGGCUCAACCUCGGAACUGCCUCUAAUACUGGGUAUCUCGAGUUCGAGAGAGGUGAGUGGAAUUCCGAGUGUAGAGGUGAAAUUCGUAGAUAUUCGGAGGAACACCAGUGGCGAAGGCGGCUCACUGGCUCGAUACUGACGCUGAGGUGCGAAAGCGUGGGGAGCAAA